UUGUAGGACGGGACCUCUUUGGCAUCGAUAGCUUGUUGAAUGAUGUUUCUUAUCCGGGGCUCGUCUGUGUAUUGCACACAAAGCACGGACUCCAUGAUCUGAUCCAUGUCGCCCUUGAAGUCCAGGUAGGCCUGCUUAACAUCGGCUAGCUCUUCUUCAGAGCCUUUGUAUGUGUUUUCAAAAGCCUGAAUGUCCUCUAGCGAUAUCUAAUAACAAAGAAGAUGGCUUUAACUUCGAGAAUUUUACUUGUGGACUGGACGACGGGAAUUAGUCAAAGCCACUAAAGAAAGCCCUUUUACCUUUUUAAAAAGUAACCUCCAAUACGCAUCCCAGUCCCGGUCUUGGUUGAGGCCAGCGGUGUCCUCGUCCACUGUGCCCUGCUCAUCGUACACUGCUCUCUGCUCCUUGUCACUCAGAACCGCAUAGACUCUCCCCAAGAUCUGCAGGCAAAGAGCAUCCAAAAGUCACCCCGAACCUCCCGCUGACACCGUGGGGCUAGAAAUGCUUAAAAAUGCCAGGCCGGGGAUCCGCAGUGCGCUGCCCCGGGGUGGGGUCGCCGCAAGAGCCGGAGAAGUCCGGGUGGCCGCCCGAACACCGGCCCACAUACCUGGAAGCGGCGGGUGGCAUCCUCUUUCUGGUCCGGGUCUACGCGGUCCGGGUGCACUUGCAGGGACACCUUGUGGUAACCGCGCCGGACCUCGCCGUCGGAAGCCUCGCGCCGCACGCCCAGCACCCGGUAGAGGUCGGCGGUGCCGAACACCUGCUCGCACAGCUCCAGCAGCCCCAUGUCCGGGAAGAGGCUGCUCCGCUAACGCCGAGAACCUGAGCCCGUCAGCCGCUCCGCCUGUCAGCCGCUUUUUCCCGCCCAAACAGCCUUGGGCGCCUGCGUCACAGGGGGCGCAAGGGGGCGGGGCCGGCCGCGCUUUCCGGCAGCCGCAAAACGGACUCGCUCUCGCCGGCGAAGUAAAAUACGGCGCUCAACCUGCGGACUGCGGCGUCUCCUGGAGUGGAGCCGCGGCUCGCCACGCCCGCACUCCUUCCUACCCCGAAAUCUGCCCCCCCACCUCACCCCCAGGUUUCUUGCACAGAAGCUCACUCAAUGACACAUGAAAGUAUUUAACAGUGUCCCGAUAAAAAGCGGUUACUCGGGCUGGCGAGGAUGCUCAGCCACACCUGGCGACCUCCAGGACGCAUCAAGUUGUCUUCUGACCUCCACACGACACAUCACAGAAAAUAAGUAAAUGUAAUACAAGUGGUCAGAAAUCAACGCCAACUGUCAGUCCCUGUCUAUCGACUCUCAAAGUCCCCUCAUGCCAAGUGAAGGAAAACCAGCAGCCCCCUUGGAGAGCCUCAACUUCGGAACGUGCAUUAGCUAGCAAAUGGUUUCAGAACCCAGGUAAGACAAGCCAGAGCGUUAGCAGACCUUAGAACCUUCCGGAUACCUUAGCGUUACUCUAAAUUUGAAACCUACAUUAUCCAGCAUGUGAAAAACAAACAUGUGAAGGAGACACCCACCGCUGCACAGUGGGGGCUCCCUCUCAGACCCUGGAUCAGGCACAAACCACACCCAAACACCUGUUUACACAGAGAUCCUUUAUUAAAUGGGGAAGAAAAGUUAAA